rnacentral:rRNA from 1 species
AACGAACGCUGGCGGCAUGCCUAACACAUGCAAGUCGAACGAGACCUUCGGGUCUAGUGGCGCACGGGUGCGUAACGCGUGGGAAUCUGCCCUUCGGUUGGGAAUAACUGAGAGAAAUUUCAGCUAAUACCUUAUAAUGUCUUCGGACCAAAGAUUUAUCGCCGAGGGAUGAGCCCGCGUAGGAUUAGGUAGUUGGUGGGGUAAUGGCCUACCAAGCCGACGAUCCUUAGCUGGUCUGAGAGGAUGAUCAGCCACACUGGGACUGAGACACGGCCCAGACUCCUACGGGAGGCAGCAGUGGGGAAUAUUGGACAAUGGGCGAAAGCCUGAUCCAGCAAUGCCGCGUGAGUGAUGAAGGCCUUAGGGUUGUAAAGCUCUUUUACCCGGGAUGGUAAUGACAGUACCGGGAGAAUAAGCUCCGGCUAACUCCGUG